rnacentral:rRNA from 1 species
AGCGAACGCUGGCGGCAGGCUUAACACAUGCAAGUCGAACGGGCGUAGCAAUACGUCAGUGGCAGACGGGUGAGUAACGCGUGGGAACGUACCUUUUGGUUCGGAACAACACAGGGAAACUUGUGCUAAUACCGGAUAAGCCCUUACGGGGAAAGAUUUAUCGCCAAAAGAUCGGCCCGCGUCUGAUUAGCUAGUUGGUGAGGUAAUGGCUCACCAAGGCGACGAUCAGUAGCUGGUCUGAGAGGAUGAUCAGCCACAUUGGGACUGAGACACGGCCCAAACUCCUACGGGAGGCAGCAGUGGGGAAUAUUGGACAAUGGGCGCAAGCCUGAUCCAGCCAUGCCGCGUGAGUGAUGAAGGCCCUAGGGUUGUAAAGCUCUUUUGUGCGGGGAGAUAAUGACGGUACCGCAAGAAUAAGCCCCGGCUAACUUCGUGCCAGCAGCCGCGGUAAUACGAAGGGGGCUAGCGUUGCUCGGAAUCACUGGGCGUAAAGGGUGCGUAGGCGGGUCUUUAAGUCAAGGGUGAAAUCCUGGAGCUCAACUCCAGAACUGCCUUUGAUACUGAGGAUCUUGAGUUCGGGAGAGGUGAGUGGAACUGCGAGUGUAGAGGUGAAAUUCGUAGAUAUUCGCAAGAACACCAGUGGCGAAGGCGGCUCACUGGCCCGAUACUGACGCUGAGGCACGAAAGCGUGGGGGAGCAAACAGGAUUGGAUACCCUGGUAGUCCACGCCGUAAACGGUGGGCACUAGGUGUGGGGACCAUUCCACGGUUUCUGUGCCGCAGCUAACGCAUUAAGUGCCCCGCCUGGGGAGUACGGCCGCAAGGCUAAA